rnacentral:rRNA from 1 species
ACGGAAGGCAGCAGUGAGGAAUAUUGGUCAAUGGGCGGAAGCCUGAACCAGCCAAGUCGCGUGAAGGAUGAAGGUAUUAUGUAUUGUAAACUUCUUUAGACGUAGAGAAAUAAGGGGAUCGUGAUCCCUGAUGCUAGUAUACGUAGAAUAAGGAUCGGCUAACUCCGUGCCAGCAGCCGCGGUAAUACGGAGGAUCCGAGCGUUAUCCGGAUUUAUUGGGUUUAAAGGGUGCGCAGGCGGCUUUUUAAGUCAGUGGUCAAAUCGUGGAGCUUAACUCCAUCCCGCCAUUGAUACUGGAGAGCUUGAUUGCGGUUGAGGUUGGCGGAAUUCGCCGUGUAGCGGUGAAAUGCAUAGAUAUCGCGAAGAACUCCGAUUGCGUAGGCAGCUUACCAGGCCGGCAAUGACGCUCAUGCACGAAAGUGCGGGGAUCGAACAGGAUUAGAUACCCUGGUA